UAAUAAGCUGGAGAUUAUACAAUGACAUUCCCACUUAUGGGAUAGAUAAUGUACCUGUAUCAUUGUGUCCAACAUGCCUGUAACAGCUCGGCCAGGUGAGCUGGGCAGGGAGUCAGUUUGUCUCAGAUCUGCGCUAUAACGCGCAUGGCUGAA